UACGAAGGGGGCUAGCGUUGCUCGGAAUCACUGGGCGUAAAGCGCACGUAGGCGGAUUGUUAAGUCAGGGGUGAAAUCCUGGAGCUCAACUCCAGAACUGCCUUUGAUACUGGCGAUCUCGAGUCCGGGAGAGGUGAGUGGAACUGCGAGUGUAGAGGUGAAAUUCGUAGAUAUUCGCAUGAACACCAGUGGCGAAGGCGGCUCACUGGCCCGGUACUGACGCUGAGGUGCGAAAGCGUGGGGAGCAAACAGG
rnacentral:rRNA from 1 species